UACAUGCACUGUAUCACCUAAUCCUCACGGCAACUAGAUAAGAUAUAGGUCGUUAUUACCUCCAUUUAGUAAUGAGCAAACUAUGGCUUAGACAUUCAAUAACUUGAUCAAGGUCACUGCAUCACCAGGAUUGGAACCCUGGUCUGUCUAAUUCCAGAGUGCUCACCUUAAAACACUCACCCUAACAGCCUUCAGAAGGGAGCCAUCUAGAUCAUCAUGCCAAGCAGGCAAGUUGCAGGGAGAUUUCUGCUCCCCUCCCCAGCAGGUAAUGCACAUUCCAGACUUGCCUUUCAAUUCCUCCCAGCACUCUUCAGUGGAGGCACAGAAUCACUCGCUCUGGGAAAGCUGAUAGCUAUGUUUCCACCUUCCCAUGUACCACGGACUCUGCUGUCCCGACACGAGUGAAGGAGAACGCCACCACCAUGAUCCAGAGACUCACAGCCUGCCCAUAAGCAUGGAAACAAGCCUGUUCUAGAUUGCUGGAGGAUGAGAGACCCUUCUGGAGCAAAGAAAAGCCAUCCAAACUGAGGCCGACUUAGACCAGCCAGCUCCUCGUCAGUCCAGCAGCUGACUCCAGAGGUAUAAAGGAGCCCAGAUGAUCAGCUGAGCCUAAUCCACAUUAGAAGAACCACCUAACUGGCCCAUGGAAUUAUGAGCACUAAUAAACUGUGGUUGUUUUAAGCCA